ACAUGGGGGCAACCCUGAUCCAGCCAUGCCGCGUGUGUGAAGAAGGCUUUCGGGUUGUAAAGCACUUUCAGUGAGGAGGAAAACUCUGCGACUAAUACUCGUAGGGCUUGACGUUACUCACAGAAGAAGCACCGGCUAACUCCGUGCCAGCAGCCGCGGUAAUACGGAGGGUGCAAGCGUUAAUCGGAAUUACUGGGCGUAAAGCGCGCGUAGGUGGUUUGAUAAGCGAGAUGUGAAAGCCCCGGGCUUAACCUGGGAACGGCAUUUCGAACUGUCAGGCUAGAGUAUGGUAGAGGGUAGUGGAAUUUCCUGUGUAGCGGUGAAAUGCGUAGAUAUAGGA
rnacentral:rRNA from 1 species